rnacentral:rRNA from 1 species
CUGCCCAGUAGUACGGAAUAACAGUUGGAAACGACUGACAAUACCGUAUACGCCCUUCGGGGGAAAGUUUUUCGCUAUUGGAUGAGCCCGCGUCAGAUUAGCUAGUUGGUGGGGUAAUGGCCUACCAAGGCGACGAUCUGUAGCUGUUCUGAGAGGAAGACCAGCCACACUGGAACUGAGACACGGUCCAGACUCCUACGGGAGGCAGCAGUGGGGAAUAUUGGACAAUGGGCGAAAGCCUGAUCCAGCCAUGCCGCGUGAGUGAUGAAGGCCUUAGGGUUGUAAAGCUCUUUUGGCGGGGAAGAUAAUGACGGUACCCGCAGAAUAAGUUCCGGCUAACUUCGUGCCAGCAGCCGCGGUAAUACGAAGGGAACUAGCGUUGUUCGGAAUCACUGGGCGUAAAGGGCGCGUAGGCGGACUGUCAAGUCAGGGGUGAAAUCCCAAGGCUCAACCUUGGAAUUGCCUUUGAAACUGUCAGUCUGGAGUGCAUGAGGGGAUAGCGGAAUUCCAAAUGUAGCAGUGAAAUGCGUAGAUAUUUGGAGGAACACCGGUGGCGAAGGCGGCUAUCUGGCAUGCAACUGACGCUGAGGCGCGAAAGCGUGGGGAUCAAACAGGAUUAGAUACCCUGGUAGUCCACGCCCUAAACGAUGAAUGCUAGCCGUUGGAACGUAAGUUUCAGUGGCGCCGCUAACGCAUUAAGCAUUCCG